UACGGAGGGUGCAAACGUUGCUCGGAAUUAUUGGGCGUAAAGCGCACGUAGGCGGCCGACUAAGUCGGGUGUGAAAGCCCUGGGCUCAACCCAGGAAGUGCACUCGAAACUGGUCGGCUUGAGUAUGGAAGAGGGUCGCGGAAUUCCCGGUGUAGAGGUGAAAUUCGUAGAUAUCGGGAGGAACACCAGUGGCGAAAGCGGCGACCUGGGCCAAUACUGACGCUGAGGUGCGAAAGCGUGGGGAGCAAACAGG
rnacentral:rRNA from 1 species